rnacentral:misc_RNA from 1 species
GAUGAAGAACGCAGCGAAAUGCGAUAAGUAAUGUGAAUUGCAGAAUUCAGUGAAUCAUCGAGUCUUUGAACGCACAUUGCGCCCCCUGGUAUUCCGGGGGGCAUGCCUGUCCGAGCGUCAUUGCUGCCCUCAAGCACGGCUUGUGUGUUGGGCCUCCGUCCUCCUCCCGGGGGACGGGCCCGAAAGGCAGCGGCGGCACCGCGUCCGGUCCUCGAGCGUAUGGGGCUUCGUCACCCGCUCUUGUAGGCCCGGCCGGCGCUUGCCGACACAUCAAUCUUUUUUCCAGGUUGACCUCGGAUCAGGUGGGGAUACCCGCUGAACUUAAGCAUAUCAAUAAGCGGAGGA